AGCAAAAACUGCCUAGUGAGUUGAUGAGGAGCUUAUCACCACCCAGCUUCGAAGUUGCCGGAACAAGACUCAGAGAAGGGAACUUUCCCAAACUCACGCAGCUCCUCGACGAAAGGCUAAGCUGGAUCUGCAGAUGAGACAGAUUCGUCCACGGCCUGACUUCACUGCUGCUUGUUCCUUUGCAAGCAGACCCAACAGGGAUGGAUGGGGAAGAUCAGAGAACCAAAUUCAUCCUGUCUGAGCCAUGUCCAGUGAACCUGCAGGCAUAUUGCUGAGGAUGGCUCCCAGGUGAGGGAAGGAGGCCUCAGUCAGGCAGAUGCUGAGCAAAAGUCAGCACUGCCUAACUCUACUUAUAAACCAGGGCAGAGGGUUCCUCCAGGCACUUCUAAUGCCUAUGGGCUCUGCUGUUCAGGGAGCAGCCUGGAAAGUGGCAAGCAGCAUAGGCUCACAUUCCUGACCCUGUGCCACAGAGGACCAGUCUGUUUACUCACGCCUUAUUACAGAGAGCAGCAGGCACUUUCCAAAAUCCAAGGACACAUGCCAGUUUUUCCUUUAUAAAGGCUCCUUAGCCUGGCAAAGCCAAGCGUCAGCACAGAAAUAGCCAAAUCAGACUAAAGUCCCUGAAGGCUCUUGAACCAGCCCCCAUCUAGAAACUCAAACCAGAGAAAGGAUGCUUCAUCACAGAGGUUCUUAACCUGGGACCCAGGGAUCCUGCAGGAUCAUAAAUGUACUUCAGGCCUCAGUAAAUUCCUUUAAACUCUUUGCAAAAAUGUAUGGAGGGAGAUAAUGGGGGAUGAUGGUGUGUGUGCAUGUGUGUGUGCGUGUGUGCGUGUGUGUGUAUGUGUGUGUAUUUUUAAGAUUUUAUUUUUUCAAGCAAUCUCUACACCCAGUGUGGGGCUCAAACUUACAACCCCCACGAUCAAGAGUCACAUGCUUUACCAAAUGAGCUAGGCAGGUGCCCCAAUAAUGGUCUAUUUUUAUAGGAAGAAAAAAAAAAGGAAGAAAGUACAAGUGUUCAUCAGAUGCUCAAAGGAGUCUAUAACCCCAAAAAGACUAAGAACCACUGACUUAGUGCUUUCCAGAAGUUUCCAAGAACCCAUGCUUACAGGGGCAUGUCUUAACAGUCAUAAUUCAAUUCAAUUUUCCAGACAGUCUACGUCUUGUGCUUUCUGGACCGUGCUCUCUUAGAGGCCUACUCUUCUGCACAGAUCUUCCAUGCACUCAGAGUCAUCCUCAGUGCAGGGUCUCACGUUCAUUCUCCUUAUGCUGCGAUGGGAACAUGGCCCUGGGCCUGGGAGAGACACCCUGAGAUGGGAUGAGCAGGACA